rnacentral:rRNA from 1 species
AUGGAUCACGGCCUCAAGGUAGUUGCAUGGAACGUCCGCGGUCUCAACGCCCGGGCGCGGCGUCAUGCCAUCCGCACGCUGCUCGACACGGCCGGCGCCUCCAUUGUAUGCUUGCAAGAAACGAAGAUUGAGUUGCUCUGCUCGUCCGUCGUGCUCGACACGCUUGGCUCGGAGUUCGACGAUUACACGUACCUCCCGGCGCAGGGCACACGCGGCGGCAUACUCCUCGCGUGGAAAAGCAGGGCCGUCUCCAUCUCGGACCCCCUGUUCACCAACAACGCCAUCUCGGCCCGCGUCGCUACCGCCGGCGGCACGCCAUGGUGGAUCACGAUCGUAUACGGGCCACAGGACGACGCGGCCAAGAUCGCCUUCUUGGAGGAGCUCCGCGAGAUUAGAGCGGAUUGCCACGGACCGUGGAUGCUUUGCGGCGACUUCAACCUCAUCCUCCGCUCCGAGGACAAGAACACAGACAACGUCAAUUGGCGCAUGAUGGGAAAGUUCCGACGCCUAGUCAACGACCUCGCGCUCAAGGAAGUCUACCUCAACGGGCGUCGGUACACAUGGUCGAACGAGCAAUCGCCACCGACCCUCGUGCACCUCGAUCGCGUGCUAUGCACGUCGGACUGGGAGGAUGGACACGGCGAAUGUCAACUGACUUGCUUGGCAUCCGUCGUGUCAGACCACGCGCCUCUACUGCUGGACUGUGCCCCCGCUCCUACGCUGCACCGCAGGUUCCAUUUUGAGGAACAUUGGAUGCGCCUAGACGGAUUUCACGAUACGGUGGCUGCGGCUUGGGUCUCCAUUCAUGACCCCGACCCAUUCUGCCGCAUAAUGCUGCGCCUCCAGGCCACGGCGCGCUGCCUGACUAGUUGGAGAGCCAAGGCUGUAGGCAACGUGAAGACUAAGCUGGCCAUUACUCGCGAGCUCAUUGCACGCUUCGACAAAGCUCAGGAAGACCGCAUCCUCACCCCCCCGGAGGACUGGCUGCGCAAACAGCUCAAAGUCUCGUACCUUGGCCUCGCCUCCCUGGAACGGACGAUCGCCAGACAACGCGCUCGCAUCGCCACCCUCAAAGACGGCGACGCCAACACCGCCUUCUUCCACCAGCAGUGCACGUUCCGAAGGCAGAAAAAUCGCAUCUUCCGCCUCUCCGCGAACGGCGCUCUCCUCACCGACCACGGCGAGAUGGCUGAGGCGGCUUUCAGGCAUUAUGACGCGCUCCUGGGCACGGCUGCCGAGCGCGAACACACGGUGGACCUGACGCAGCUCAUCGAGGGGAGCGACCUGUCCGACCUCGACGCGGCCUUCAGCCCAGAGGAGAUAUGGGACGCGGUGAAACGCCUACCUGCGCACAAGGUGCCCGGGCUUGACGGAUUUAACGCCGAGUUCCUCCGCGCGUGCUGGAGCAUCGUGAGGCAGGACUUCAUGGACGUGUUCCAGCAGCUCAAAGGUCGUGGCUUCUGCAAGCUUAACCAGGCCCUGCUCACUUUGUUGCCAAAGCGCGUCCACGCCCUGGAGUUGCGAGACUUCCGCCCGAUAUGCCUCAUCCACAUCGUGGCCAAGGUUUUCGCCAAGGCCCUCUCGCUCCGGCUCGCACCAAAGCUUGAUCACCUUGUCAGCCGCAACCAGAACGCAUUCAUCACCGGACGAAGCCUCCACGACAACUUCGUGCUUGUCAGGCAAUCGCUCAAGAUGCUAAGCCAGCUCGGGGCACCCAGGGUGAUGCUCAAACUCGACCUCACGCGCGCCUUCGAUUCCAUAUCCUGGCCGUUCCUCUUUGAGGUUCUGCGCCAAUAUGGGUUCGGGAGUCGAUUCCUCGAAUGGAUCGCCAUCCUGCUGUCCUCGACGAGCACCCGGGUUAUGCUUAACGGCGUGCCAGGACCUCCGAUAUGGCACAAGGAAGGGCUGCGUCAGGGCGACUCCUUGUCCCCACAGCUGUUCGUGCUCGCGGUCGACACACUUGGCCGGCUGAUUUCGCGCGCCCACGAGACCGGCAUCCUCAGGCCGCUGCACCCACGUUGA